UGAUUUAGAAUUUAAAGUUUGUUUAGGAUUUGAUUUAAAAUUUAAGAUUUGUUUAGGAUUUAGGAUUGUGUAGGAUUUGGUUUAUGAUUUAGGAUUUGUCUAGGGUUUGAUUUAGAGUUUAAGAUUUUUUUAGAGUUUGAUUUAGGAUUUAGGAUUUAUUUAAGAUUUGGUUUAAGAUUUAAAAUUUGUCUAGGAUUUAGAAUUUAUCUAGGGCUUGGUUUAGGAUUUAGGAUUUGUAUAAGAUUUGGUUUAGGAUUUAAGAUUUGUGUAAGGUUUGAUUGAAGUCUAUUAGGAUUUUAAUGAGGAUUAAAUUAGAACUUGGUUGAAAUUUAUUUGAGAUAUAUUUGUGAUUAUUCUUAUAUUUUUUAGGAUUUUUUAAGGAUUCUUUUAAGAUUUAUUGUGGAUUUUCUUUCAACUCCUUUAAGAUUUCUUAUUAUUUCUCUUGUAAUUUUUUUAAGGUUUCUUUUUAAUUUGAUUAAAGCUUGUUUAGUAUUUUUAAGGUUUAAUUAGAGUUUAUUUAGUAUUCUAUUAGAGAUAUGAUUUUGUUAUAGAAAUUUCUAUUCUAACUUCUACAACCAAGUGCUUGAUGCAUUCUCGAGCAAGACUUUAUGUAAUACAAUAGCAUCAAAUUGUAUGUUGAUUCUAAUACAACAAUUUAAAAAUAAAAAACUUAAAGAAUAGAU
rnacentral:lncRNA from 1 species